GACGAACGCUGGCGGCGUGCUUAACACAUGCAAGUCGAACGGAAAGGCCCUGCUUUUGUGGGGUGCUCGAGUGGCGAACGGGUGAGUAACACGUGAGUAACCUGCCCUUCACUUUGGGAUAACUUCAGGAAACUGGGGCUAAUACCGGAUAGGAGCUCCUGCUGCAUGGUGGGGGUUGGAAAGUUUCGGCGGUUGGGGAUGGACUCGCGGCUUAUCAGCUUGUUGGUGGGGUAGUGGCUUACCAAGGCUUUGACGGGUAGCCGGCCUGAGAGGGGGACCGGCCACAUUGGGACUGAGAUACGGACCAGACUGCUACGGGAGGCAGAAGUGGGGAAUAUUGCACAAUGGGCGGAAGCCUGAUGCAGCAACGCCGCGUGCGGGAUGACGGCCUUCGGGUUGUAAACCGCUUUCGCAUGUGACGAAGCGUGAGUGACGGUAAUGGGUAAAGAAGCACCGGCUAACUACGUG
rnacentral:rRNA from 1 species